AGCGCAUACGGUGGAUGCCUUGGCAGUCAGAGGCGAUGAAAGACGUGGUAGCCUGCGAAAAGCUUCGGGGAGUCGGCAAAAAGACUUUGAUCCGGAGAUCUCUGAAUGGGGGAACCCACCUAGGAUAACCUAGGUAUCUUGUACUGAAUCCAUAGGUGCAAGAGGCGAACCAGGGGAACUGAAACAUCUAAGUACCCUGAGGAAAAGAAAUCAACCGAGAUUCCCUUAGUAGUGGCGAGCGAACGGGGAUUAGCCCUUAAGCUUCAUUGAUUUUAGCGGAACGCUCUGGAAAGUGCGGCCAUAGUGGGUGAUAGCCCCGUACGCGAAAGGAUCUUUGAAGUGAAAUCGAGUAGGACGGAGCACGAGAAACUUUGUCUGAACAUGGGGGGACCAUCCUCCAAGGCUAAAUACUACUGACUGACCGAUAGUGAACCAGUACCGUGAGGGAAAGGCGAAAAGAACCCCGGAGAGGGGAGUGAAAUAGAACCUGAAACCGUAUGCGUACAAGCAGUGGGAGCCUACUUGUUAGGUGACUGCGUACCUUUUGUAUAAUGGGUCAGCGACUUAUAUUCAGUGGCAAGCUUAACCGUAUAGGGUAGGCGUAGCGAAAGCGAGUCUUAAUAGGGCGUUUAGUCGCUGGGUAUAGACCCGAAACCGGGCGAUCUAUCCAUGAGCAGGUUGAAGGUUAGGUAACACUGACUGGAGGACCGAACCCACUCCCGUUGAAAAGGUAGGGGAUGACUUGUGGAUCGGAGUGAAAGGCUAAUCAAGCUCGGAGAUAGCUGGUUCUCCUCCGAAAGCUAUUUAGGUAGCGCCUCAUGUAUCACUCUGGGGGGUAGAGCACUGUUUCGGCUAGGGGGUCAUCCCGACUUACCAAACCGAUGCAAACUCCGAAUACCCAGAAGUGCCGAGCAUGGGAGACACACGGCGGGUGCUAACGUCCGUCGUGAAAAGGGAAACAACCCAGACCGCCAGCUAAGGUCCCAAAGUUGUGGUUAAGUGGUAAACGAUGUGGGAAGGCUUAGACAGCUAGGAGGUUGGCUUAGAAGCAGCCAUCCUUUAAAGAAAGCGUAAUAGCUCACUAGUCGAGUCGGCCUGCGCGGAAGAUGUAACGGGGCUCAAACCACACACCGAAGCUGCGGGUGUCACGUAAGUGACGCGGUAGAGGAGCGUUCUGUAAGCCUGUGAAGGUGAGUUGAGAAGCUUGCUGGAGGUAUCAGAAGUGCGAAUGCUGACAUGAGUAACGACAAUGGGUGUGAAAAACACCCACGCCGAAAGACCAAGGGUUCCUGCGCAACGUUAAUCGACGCAGGGUUAGUCGGUUCCUAAGGCGAGGCUGAAAAGCGUAGUCGAUGGGAAACAGGUUAAUAUUCCUGUACUUCUGGUUACUGCGAUGGAGGGACGGAGAAGGCUAGGCCAGCUUGGCGUUGGUUGUCCAAGUUUAAGGUGGUAGGCUGAAAUCUUAGGUAAAUCCGGGGUUUCAAGGCCGAGAGCUGAUGACGAGUCGUCUUUUAGAUGACGAAGUGGUUGAUGCCAUGCUUCCAAGAAAAGCUUCUAAGCUUCAGGUAACCAGGAACCGUACCCCAAACCGACACAGGUGGUCGGGUAGAGAAUACCAAGGCGCUUGAGAGAACUCGGGUGAAGGAACUAGGCAAAAUGGCACCGUAACUUCGGGAGAAGGUGCGCCGGCUAGGGUGAAGGAUUUACUCCGUAAGCUCUGGCUGGUCGAAGAUACCAGGCCGCUGCGACUGUUUAUUAAAAACACAGCACUCUGCAAACACGAAAGUGGACGUAUAGGGUGUGACGCCUGCCCGGUGCCGGAAGGUUAAUUGAUGGGGUUAGCGCAAGCGAAGCUCUUGAUCGAAGCCCCGGUAAACGGCGGCCGUAACUAUAACGGUCCUAAGGUAGCGAAAUUCCUUGUCGGGUAAGUUCCGACCUGCACGAAUGGCGUAACGAUGGCGGCGCUGUCUCCACCCGAGACUCAGUGAAAUUGAAAUCGCUGUGAAGAUGCAGUGUAUCCGCGGCUAGACGGAAAGACCCCGUGAACCUUUACUGUAGCUUUGCACUGGACUUUGAGCCUGCUUGUGUAGGAUAGGUGGGAGGCUUUGAAGCGUGGACGCCAGUUCGCGUGGAGCCAUCCUUGAAAUACCACCCUGGCAUGCUUGAGGUUCUAACUCUGGUCCGUGAUCCGGAUCGAGGACAGUGUAUGGUGGGCAGUUUGACUGGGGCGGUCUCCUCCUAAAGAGUAACGGAGGAGUACGAAGGUGCGCUCAGACCGGUCGGAAAUCGGUCGCAGAGUAUAAAGGCAAAAGCGCGCUGACUGCGAGACAGACACGUCGAGCAGGUACGAAUGUAGGUCGUAGUGAUCCGGUGGUUCUGUAUGGAAGGGCCAUCGCUCAACGGAUAAAAGGUACUCCGGGGAUAACAGGCUGAUACCGCCCAAGAGUUCAUAUCGACGGCGGUGUUUGGCACCUCGAUGUCGGCUCAUCACAUCCUGGGGCUGAAGCCGGUCCCAAGGGUAUGGCUGUUCGCCAUUUAAAGUGGUACGCGAGCUGGGUUUAGAACGUCGUGAGACAGUUCGGUCCCUAUCUGCCGUGGACGUUUGAGAUUUGAGAGGGGCUGCUCCUAGUACGAGAGGACCGGAGUGGACGAACCUCUGGUGUUCCGGUGGUCACGCCAGUGGCAUUGCCGGGUAGCUAUGUUCGGAAAAGAUAACCGCUGAAAGCAUCUAAGCGGGAAACUUGCCUCAAGAUGAGAUCUCACUGGGAACUUGAUUCCCCUGAAGGGCCGUCGAAGACUACGACGUUGAUAGGCUGGGUGUGUAAGCGUUGU
rnacentral:rRNA from 1 species